CCCCAACCCUAGCCGAUCCAAAAUCAAACGAAGCAAUCCCCAACCCUAGCCGCCGCCAAGUCCCCAUCUGAAUCUGCAUCCUCUUCCUCCUCAACCUCCGGCGGAGAUGGUUUGGCGGCGAGUACGCGCUGUUCGACGCGGAGGUAGGCCUCCUUCUCCCGCUGCCGGCGGUAUCGCUGGUGGAGGCGGCGCCGUCGAGGCUGCGAGCGAGGAAGGAGGAGGUGGGGAAGAGUAGUUCAUAGAUCGGAUCCGGCACCGACAGGCAGAGGCAGAGGAGGAGGCGAGGGUAACCAGGCGUGGCGUACGUGGACCACUCCUUCUCCAUCUCCGACGAGGACGACCUUGUCGGCAGCGCCGUGGGAGGGCCCAGGGCGCGCCCGUCAUGGAGAUCGCCUUCGCGGCCGCUCUCCUCGCGUGCGGGGUGCUCGGCGCCAUCGGGGGCAUCCUCAUGGCCGCCAACCGCUUUGGCAGUGACCGCGAGAGAUCUCCUCUGGCAGCAGCAGCAGUGAGGAGGGCUCGACGGCGUGCGGCGGUGAGGAGGAGGUGAGCGGCGGUGGUCUGGUGCAGCGGCGCUAGGCGGCGAGGAGGAGGCGAGCGAUGGCGCCAGAUCCAUCCCACGAUUGAAAUCAGUUCUACGAAUGCACUGAAGUUUUCAAUUUCACAACAUGGUCGAUGCACUUCAUUAUAUCUGAAAUGAGUUAGGAACUUGCUAUCAACCCCUUGUUUAUGGCUGUAAAUUUGCAAAAGAUAAUAAUUUUGGCUGGUAAGUACAAGUAUUUGGUGAUGUAUAUCCUUGCUCAUUUUCUUAAUCUGCAAAUGAACCAAGUAGAUUUGUUUGAUGUAUAUACUUAAUAACUUUCUUAAGCUGCAAAAGGAGCCAAACUAGCAGUGUCGUUUUAUGGCUGUAAAUGCCAUUUUUGGUUUUGCUUCCAUGAUGAGCAGGUCUAGUCAGUAGAAUUUGUCUGUGUAUAUCUCUAACCACUUUAGUUGUUUGUGAAUCUAUCUAUAGUUUGGUGGAUGUGAAUUAUCUGAACUCAGAACAACUCUGAACUAGUUGUGCACUGCCUUGAUUUUUAGUUUCUUGUACAGAGGUUUUUGUCAGUACGUGUGAUAUGUAGAGCUAUUCCUGAACUAAGAUGUUUAAAGAUUAAUUGUACAUAACACAGGUCUUUGAUAGUUCUGUUUUGUUGCGUUUCUUUGCUUCAGAAACUGUGGAUUUCUUGCUCUGUCCUGCAAAAGGACCACAUUUAUUUCCUCCUUCAAUCUAUAGCAUCAGUUGCUUGCUUGCUUGGCCAAUGAAAUGAGGUGGGUUGGUGAUGGGGACAUUGAGUUUUGUUAGUGCAAUGUAUUAUGGGGACAUCAGAUUGGUGUUGCAAAGUAGCCCUAUCAUUCAAAAACUAAUAUCGUAUCUGUAGAUUGUUUCUUGUUGUUUCUCUAGCGCAUAAAAAAAUAAUCUAACACAUGGUAUUGUACUAUCAGGUUGCUGGGCUCAAACAUAUGCGAACUUUGAUGGAGUGGCCAAAAUGCUUUGGUGGCUGUUGGGUAUUGUCAUGUGCUUUUGAACAGGUUUUAAUUAUGUUGUAUGAGAUAUGCUAAAAAAUUAUGUUGUAUGAGAUGUGAAGGUUGUAAUGUGUUUUUAUAAUAUUUAUGUGCUGAUCUAUAACUAUUUUGUUACUGAUGAUGAGAGAAUGUCAACUGAUGAUCAGUAAUUAAUUUUGCUAAAAUUAUGGACGAAAUAUUUGUAUUUGCUAAAUUUAGCAGCAGCUGAAUUUUUGUUGGGCUAAAA